GAUGAAGAACGUAGCGAAAUGCGAUACUUGGUGUGAAUUGCAGAAUCCCGUGAACCAUCGAGUCUUUGAACGCAAGUUGCGCCCGAAGCCACUAGGCCGAGGGCACGCCUGCCUGGGCGUCACACGCCGUUGCCCCCCCAUCUACUCCUUCGGGAUUGCGGGGGGGCGGAUGAUGGCCUCCCGUGCGCCUAGCCGCGCGGUUGGCAUAAUUACCAAGUCCUCGGCGACGCACGCCACGACAAUCGGUGGUUGCGAAACCUCGGUUGCCCGUCGUGUGCGUUCGUCGCGCAUCGAGGGCUCGAAAAAAUGCUCGGCUCCGGCUGGGCUUUCAACGCGACCCCAGGUCAGGCGGGGUUACCCGCUGAAUUUAAGCAUAUCAAUAAGCGGAGGA
rnacentral:misc_RNA from 1 species